CACUCCUGCGGGAGGCAGCAGUGGGGAAUUUUGGACAAUGGGGGCAACCCUGAUCCAGCAAUGCCGCGUGAGUGAAGAAGGCCUUCGGGUUGUAAAGCUCUUUUGUCAGGGAAGAAACGGUAGUAGCGAAUAACUAUUACUAAUGACGGUACCUGAAGAAUAAGCACCGGCUAACUACGUGCCAGCAGCCGCGGUAAUACGUAGGGUGCAAGCGUUAAUCGGAAUUACUGGGCGUAAAGCGUGCGCAGGCGGUUGUGUAAGUCAGAUGUGAAAUCCCCGGGCUCAACCUGGGAAUUGCAUUUGAGACUGCACGGCUAGAGUGUGUCAGAGGGGGGUAGAAUUCCACGUGUAGCAGUGAAAUGCGUAGAUAUGUGGAGGAAUACCGAUGGCGAAGGCAGCCCCCUGGGAUAACACUGACGCUCAUGCACGAAAGCGUGGGGAGCAAACAGGAUUAGAAACCCUAGUAGUCCCA
rnacentral:rRNA from 1 species